GCACUUUCAAUAGCAAGGAGAUACGCCUAUAUUACGAGGGUCGGGCAACCGACUAUGGCGAUAAACGUCAUGCUUAUUACCCGUUGCGGACCCGGGGGCAGUACCCGGCGCCUCCACCAUUUCCCCGACCACAGCUUUGCGUGUCACGGGCAGGCUUUGUUGUGGGGGCGAUACAGGAUCGACGUGCGUGGAAACGGUAUGAUUUUCGCACGGCAUGGUACCACCGUUAUCGGGCCGAUCGUUAAUUGCGAACGAUAACCAAAUCGCACUCGCUGCCUAGUAUUAGGUAAGCGCGGUCCGGGGGACACCGGGCAACAGAAGUCCCCCACU
rnacentral:tmRNA from 1 species